UUUGGUUUCUACUUUGUGUUUCCUUCUACAUUUUGGUUUUAUGAUUGUAUUUUUCAUCUUCUCUGUUUUGUACUGAAUAUUUUGGAAACGAUGUCUCUCUUGAAGGGAGACGAAGAAGAUGCAUAAAGUUAUUAAAAAAAUAUUCAUUUUAAUAUGCUUUGUCAAUGUAACUUAUGUAAAAGCUUGUACAAUUUUCAUUUUUGUUUCGUUUGUUUAGCCCAACUAAAAUGCAUUUCAAAAAAAUAAAUAGCUGGUAACUCGACCGUAUCACAUUUUUUUGAUCGGAUAGUACCUUAUCUUAAUUUUGAAUGAUAUCUUAUUCGCCUUAAAAAAAAAAAAAAAAAAAAAAAUCUUAUUCGCCUUAAAUCUUACCCCAACACCAACAAAGCAUCAUAUAAUAAUUUUUUAAUUGACGUGGUAUGUUAUGUUACAUGCCUCUACAUGUGGACGUGCAGAUACGCAUUAGUAUUAGCAGAGAAGAUCGCAAAAUAUUGUAAAUUAAUGAUAACAAUAAUAUACUCCUUUUCACCGACAAGAGUCAGCAAAAGAUUUUGAGAAAACAUGUGUCUGAAUGAAAAGUUUUGACAAAAUCACACAUAUUCUAUCUACAUCAUUCAUAUGUUUUCUACUGUUACUUAUUUGUCUUUAAUUUCAUAUUUUCAAAACUUGACCUAAAUCCAAAAUUUGCUUUUUUGCUUUCUCUUAAGAAUUCAGAUUUUGUUAACAUUUUUGUUCCGUCAACGAUUUGCUAACAUUCAUGUACAUACAUAUCCAUAACUAGACAUCAUCAAUAACGUAUAUAUGUACGAAUACAAUGAAUAUAAAAAUGUUCAAGAGUCGACCAUUUUUAUCAUCCGGAUUUUGAUGAAGUAAUGGAUAAUCUUGAUAUCCUGACACGGUAUUAUAGAAAAUGAAAUGGUAGUCGUUUUUAAUUACUAUCUUAAGCAAUAACGUCUCAUUCAACUCUUUAUGAUGAUAAUACUCUUAUACGUAUAUGAACGAAGCAGUUGAGAUUUUGUUUGACUUUUUUUUUGGUUCGCUCCAAAUCUAUCAUUCUUUCGUAGGGCCCAUACAAGUAAUGUAGAGUGUCCCCUCCACCGUCAAUGUUCUUAAAACUACCAUCUUUUUAUCAAAGGCUUGCAUUGGUGGCGAUGGAUGAUCGAGUAUCGCGUUUAGCUCGGUCCAGAGAGAGAGAGUAAACCGAUGAUACACGCUUUGACACGGCAGAGGAUAAAGCACAAAUAUACAAGUAAAUAUUCUGUGUUUGACCUUUUUCAUGACCUUUUUAGCAGCCUCUAUAACAAUUUUUCAUCUUUGUUGUUCACUUGUUUGAAUAUCAAUUCAUUAUUUGUUUAAACAUGACCUUUUUAGAGAAUGUUUAACACCGUUUUGUUUUGCUGGGUUUGUUGGUUGGAUUGAAUUGUUUAUGAGUUUUGUGUUGGUUAUCGUGUGAUUUAGGGCACAAGGAUGUAAUUCAGGGUCUUAAUUGUUAGGGCCAGGGCCGGCCCUGAAUAAGCAUGGGCUCCGUGCACAAAGUAAUUUUUAUGGACCCACUAAAUGUGACAUGAAAAUAUUUUUGGUAAAGGAAUUGGCUAACUUAAUCAUCAUCAUGAAUUAAUAAGAGAACUACUGAUCCAAUGACACUUCGAGCAUAUGAUAGCUCUGCUUCUUCUCAGGGACGCCAUGCCGCGUUAUGAAAUAGAUUAUAAACAUUAACUGCGAAAUAAGAUGCCCAAAAACCUCUGGUCCUCAUUGGCUUCGAUUGUAAUUGAUACCGUUUAAAAAAAAAUUAAUUUUGUUCAAGUUGAUCCAUGAUUAUUUUUAUUGUGACUUGUGAGGCUGCUUACUUAGAAUUCUGCUCAUAGCUACCCAUUUUAACUAACAUUUUUUGUGUAAAGCUACAUUCCAUUCUCUCCCCUUGGAAUAAAUUUCUAGUGUUCUUUUGCACUUGUCUGAGGAGUAUAACAUCAACAAGUUAUUAGGAAUGUUACUUGAUUCUUUUUUUUUUUCUACGGAUGUGUGUGUCUCAGGUUAUUUUGUCAUUCCCAAGUCAUUUCCAAGUGGAUGUACCUACAUUUGUAACCAAGUUAGAUGGAGCUUUCAUCUUGGGUUUGAUUCAUUUUGUACCUAACCGGUAUUAUAUUGAUGGAUUAGUUGCGUAUCCAUCCAGAUGCAAAGCCUCGCGAGAUUACUCUUUGGAUCUAGAAAGCAUUUAUGAUCUCAACGGUUAUUAAAAAAAAAGAUGUACCUAUAUUUGCAUUCAUGUUUUGACUUACUGUCAUCUAUUUACAAGCUCCUUAGUCUGAUGUUCAGUGUCACAGACUCACAAAGCCUUACUUUCGAUAGUUCAGCUACUGUUUGGUUAAAAAAAUCUGGUGAUCUCUGAGAUAUUUUUGGAGUGCAUGAUACUGCCUUGUUAGUGAAUUUCUGUCUUCAAGUUUUCGGUAGUCAAAGGGAAUGGAACAGUUCAAGAACCUUGUUACUGAAUACUGUUUCUUGUUAUCGAACUUGGGAUACAGUUCCCUUGUAUACGUUUUGUACAAUCAAUCGACACUAACAUAUGAUAUGAUCUAGUUACAAUGACUCAAUCAGAGAUUUUGCUAUGGGCUAAGGCACAAUAUAUAAUGUUCACCUUCAGAUAGCAAGAGUAAAGAGUUGAUGUUGAAAGUAGUUGAUGUUGUUGUCCUCUGGCUUUUCAAUACACUAGAAGCACGCGGGAAAUAUAUGACCUAUUCUAGCCAUUAGUCUCGCAGACCAUCAUUUUCGAAUCUAAAACACAAACUGUAGUUAAUUUUACGAGUUCUAAUACCAUGUUCAAAAUCUUAGAGGUAAAAGGUUUCUUGUGUAUCGAACUUGGGAUACAGUUUCCUCUUAUACGUUGUGCACAAUCGACACUAAUAUAUGACCUAGUUACAAUGGUCCAAUCAGAGAUUGCGGUAUGGGCUAAGGCCCAAUAUAUAAUGUUACAUUCAAGAUUCAAGCGUAAAGAGUUGCGUAAUAUAUUAUACAAGGAACACAUAUUCUCUUUUUUUUUGGGGGUAAAUGUUAGUAAAAUCACAUAUUCUCUUCUUCUUCUUUUUUUUGAAUAUAGAAUCACACACACACAUAUUCUCUUUUCUUUCCCUGAUUUUGAUAUUUGUUUUCUUCGAAGGAAUGAUGAAUUUGUUGGCUCACGAGAAGGUGAGCGAAGAGGGCCUCGAUGUUCAACUAACCUAGGUCUUCGCGUAGCAAUCUCAAUUUAACUCGGUUUAUUUUUUACCCGUUGGUUCGUUGCGGGGACCAGCAAAACGGAGACGUUUCCUAGUGACAGUGGCAAGAGGAAGACCAGAAACGGAUAACUCGGGAACGGAUGUAUUCUUCUUAAGGGCGUCUCCUCCUAAGCCGGCGCGACCAGAUUGCAUGGCUCAGUUCUGUUCAUAAUCCAAUGAUAUAUUGACACGUGUCCUGUAUGGUUCACUGAACCUGUCGUUUUCACGCGUGUCUAUUGCCGAAGGUGACACAAGAUGGUUCCCUGAAAAUUAAGUGUAUCCUUUUUUAAUAAUUGAGCUUUAUGUGUUUUGAAAAUUCAAAACUAUAAACGAUAACUGUUAGUUUCACUGUAUAACUAUUUUUUUCUUUUGUAAACUAUAAAAGACAACAAUUAAGGUUGUGUGCAUGUUACUAAUA